GGUGUUUCUCAACACC
rnacentral:misc_RNA from 1 species